GGUAUUAGCUCAGUUGGUAGAGUGCUUGCCUUGCAUGCAGAAGGCCCUGGGUUCAAUCUCCAGCACCA
rnacentral:tRNA from 1 species